UGUGCACCAGUGGGGUCCCUUGGCCUGGCCUGUGGGGUUGGGCCGAAACUGGCUCUCCGACAUCCCCCGAGUGGUCGGGGAUUGUGAGAGGGUGCAGGCCAGGCCAAGGGACCCCACUGGUGCAGG
rnacentral:pre_miRNA from 1 species